GGAUGCGAUCAUACCAGCACUAAAGCACCGGAUCCCAUCAGAACUCCGAAGUUAAGCGUGCUUGGGCGAGAGUAGUACUAGGAUGGGUGACCUCCUGGGAAGUCCCCGUGUUUCAUUCC
rnacentral:rRNA from 1 species